GUUCCUGUAGCGCAAUGGGAUAGCGCAUUGGACAUCUAAUUAAAAGGUCGUGGGUUUGAAUCCCACCUGGGAUG